rnacentral:rRNA from 1 species
GUCCACGCCCUAAACGAUGUCUACUAGUUGUCGGGUCUUAAUUGACUUGGUAACGCAGCUAACGCGUGAAGUAGACCGCCUGGGGAGUACGGUCGCAAGAUUAAAACUCAAAGGAAUUGACGGGGACCCGCACAAGCGGUGGAUGAUGUGGAUUAAUUCGAUGCAACGCGAAAACCUUACCUACCCUUGACAUGGCGGAAAGCUCCGAGAGAUUGGAGUGUGCUCGAAAGAGAAUCUGUACACAGGUGCUGCAUGGCCGUCGU